rnacentral:tRNA from 1 species
GUCUCGGUGGUCUAAAGGCUUAGGACGCUCGCACGGAAUGCAAGAGAUCCGGGUUCGACUCUCGGCCGAGGCA